UGCGUAGGCGGGAUAUUAAGUCAGUGGUGAAAGCCUUCGGCUCAACCGAAGAACUGCCAUUGAUACUGAUAUUCUUGAGUACGGAUGAGGUAAGCGGAAUUUAUGGUGUAGCGGUGAAAUGCAUAGAUACCAUAAAGAACACCGAUAGCGAAGGCAGCUUACUAGACCGUAACUGACGCUGAGGCAAAAGCGUGGGGAGCGAACAGGAUUAGAUACCCUGGUAGUCC
rnacentral:rRNA from 1 species